AGUGAACGCUGGCGGUAGGCCUAACACAUGCAAGUCGAACGGCAGCACAGUAAGAGCUUGCUCUUACGGGUGGCGAGUGGCGGACGGGUGAGGAAUACAUCGUAAUCUACUUUUUCGUGGGGGAUAACGUAGGGAAACUUACUCUAAUACCGCAUACGACCUACGGGUGAAAGCAGGGGAUCUUCGGACCUUGUGCGAUUGAAUGAGCCGAUGUCGGAUUAGCUAGUUGGGGGGGUAAAGGCCCACCAAGGCGACGAUCCGUAGCUGGUGUGAGAGGAUGAUCAGCCACACUGGAACUGAGACACGGUCCAGACUCCUACGGGAGGCAGCAGUGGGGAAUAUUGGACAAUGGGCGCAAGCCUGAUCCAGCCAUACCGCGUGGGUGAAGAAGGCCUUCGGGUUGUAAAGCCCUUUUGUUGGGAAAGAAAAGCAGCAGGUUAAUACCCCGCUGUUCUGACGGUACCCAAAGAAUAAGCACCGGCUAACUUCGUG
rnacentral:rRNA from 1 species